GCGCCUUAUGGCAAAGUUCCUUAUAUUUCAUCAUAACAACCACAAAAAAUAAUCAAAAAGGAGUUAUGAUAUAAU
rnacentral:sRNA from 12 species